rnacentral:rRNA from 1 species
AGUGAACGCUGGCGGUAGGCCUAACACAUGCAAGUCGAACGGCAGCACAGUAAGAGCUUGCUCUUACGGGUGGCGAGUGGCGGACGGGUGAGGAAUACAUCGGAAUCUACUUUUUCGUGGGGGAUAACGUAGGGAAACUUACGCUAAUACCGCAUACGACCUACGGGUGAAAGCAGGGGAUCUUCGGACCUUGCGCGAUUGAAUGAGCCGAUGUCGGAUUAGCUAGUUGGCGGGGUAAAGGCCCACCAAGGCGACGAUCCGUAGCUGGUCUGAGAGGAUGGUCAGCCACACUGGAACGGGAACACGGUCCAUGCUCCUACGGGAGGGAGCAGUGGGGAAUAGUGGGCAAUGGGCGCAAACCUGAUCCAACCAUACCGCGUGGGUGGAGGAGGCCUUCGGGUUGGAAAGCCCUUUUGUUGGGAAAGAAAAGCAGCAGGUUAAUACCCCGCUGUUCUGACGGUACCCAAAGAAUAAGCACCGGCUAACUUCGUG